UUCCGGUUGAUCCUGCCAGAGGCCACUGCUAUCGGAGUUCGAUUAAGCCAUGCGAGUCGAGAGGUGCAAGACCUCGGCAUACUGCUCAGUAACACGUGGACAAUCUAACCUAAGGUGGGGGAUAACCCCGGGAAACUGGGGAUAAUACCCCAUAGGCUAUAGAUGCUGGAAUGCGCUGUAGCCGAAAGGUCCGCCGCCUUAGGAUGGGUCUGCGGCCGAUUAGGUUGUUGUUGGGGUAACGGCCCAACAAGCCUGUAAUCGGUACGGGUUGUGGGAGCAAGAGCCCGGAGAUGGAUUCUGAGACACGAAUCCAGGCCCUACGGGGCGCAGCAGGCGCGAAAACUUUACAAUGCGGGAAACCGUGAUAGGGGAACUCCGAGUGCCCGUUAAAUCGGGCUGUCCACCAGUUUAAAUAACUGGUGAAGAAAGGGCCGGGCAAGACCGGUGCCAGCCGCCGCGGUAAUACCGGCGGCUCGAGUGGUGGCCACUAUUACUGGGCUUAAAGCGUUCGUAGCUGGUUUGUUAAGUCUCUGGGGAAAUCUUCCGGCUUAACCGGAAGGCGUCUCAGGGAUACUGGCAGACUAGGGACCGGGAGAGGUGAGGGGUACUCCAGGGGUAGGAGUGAAAUCCUGUAAUCCUUGGGGGACCACCUGUGGCGAAGGCGCCUCACCAGAACGGCUCCGACAGUGAGGGACGAAAGCUGGGGGAGCAAACCGGAUUAGAUACCCGGGUAGUCCCAGCCGUAAAYUAURCRCGUUAGGUGUAUCGGUGACCACGAGUCACCGAGGUGCCGAAGAGAAAUCGUGAAACGUGCCGCCUGGGAAGUACGGUCGCAAGGCUGAAACUUAAAGGAAUUGGCGGG
rnacentral:rRNA from 1 species